UUGUGUCUGUACAGUCAGCAACAAAUAGGUACAGGUCGAUUCACAAGAGUUGGAAAUAAUAUAAUGAAUGAGUGAAUAAAAAUAUCUAUGUGUGUGCCUAUCACAUUAAUCAAUAAAAUGGUGCCUUUGACUGUAUACCGAUAUAGGCGUCACUCACACUAUGAAAAUUUCAUUUCAUUGCAUGUUUCGUUCAUUGCAUUCGUGCCAGAUUUAGCCAGCCAAUAAAUCCUAGUUUACCCUCGGGGUUGGACGGUCAGAUGGCAGUCGCUUUCGUGAAAACGACUACCUACGCCAAUUCUUAGGAUUAGUUGCUAAGCGGACCCCAGGCUCCCAUUAGCCGUGACAAAAUGCCGGGACAACCCGAGAAAAACGAUGCAUUUGUGGCAGCUUUCGUGAAUGAAUCUGGGUGCGUAGCCAACGUGUCAAUCGUUAACGCUCUGUAGUAACAAAAAGCAACUGUCACUGUUGCACUAAUAUGGAAGAGUGAUAGAGAGAGAUGACUAGUUACGCUACGGUACGGAAGGUUGACGAUUCGCACGUUGGUUAAGCAUCCUGUAGUAAUGGACACUUCUCCUAGUGGGAUUGAAAAGCUCGUGUAGUGAGUAGUAAUAAUAUAAAUAAUUUCAUAAUAAAUGAUUAGCUCUUACUUUCAGACUUUUAAUGUACUUUCCCACUACUAUCUUUUAAAUCUGCUUUCCUCUAUCAGUUCUUUUCGAUAUCGACGGCGAUGCCUAGAAUCGGAUUGCCGCGUUCUAAUCGAUUCUUUUAAAUCGUUUUCAGGCGGCUUAUGUUUCCUAUCACUAAACGUCACUCGUGACGUUAAAGUGUCUUCGCAAAAUAUUACACGCUCGGUCCCCUUACAAAUCGAUCAACUCUUUUCUUCUAUCUCGAUAUAGUCCUGUGGUCAUUACACACGAGGCGAUAUUGUGCGCGCGAGCGAGAUAGUGUGUAAUGACCAAUGCACACGCAUUUCAUACGACGUUUUUUAACACACUUGCGAGGAAAAAGAAGAAACUUUCAUACUAAUCAAAUUUUUUGUAAAAGUCUUGCAUCUGUCAUACUGCAUGCCGCCUCUCGCCGCGCCGCCUGCCGGCCGGCGGGCCCCGGCACGCGGGCGGCGGGGCGCUGGCUCCCGUUAGUCCGCAUUUUAAAAUCUACGCGACCAAUUUAAGAAGGCUCCAUUUCCAUACAUAAUAUUAGCAAUCAGUUACCUUGUUAAGUCACUCGGAUUAUCAUUAAUUACCUAACAAGUGCUAUUAUAUAAUGAAAAAGCACGCGUGUUUAAUAUCUAGGAUUAUGAGCCUAAAAGCGGCUCCACGUUACGAGCAAGUAUGUUGACAAAUUAUUUUUUACUAACAAAACUUGCAGUGAUUUCUAGUAUAUAACAAAAUAGUUCGUUUUUUAAGCAUUAAAAAAUCUUGACGUGUCCUUUUAUUGAAAAUUAUUAAAAAACUACUACUACUCCGUUGGCUCAGCGACCCAAAAUGAGACUUGGCCUCCAACACAAGGCAGCGUCACUUUCCUCGGUCCUGUGCGACCUCUGGCCAAUUGUUGACUCGGAGUUCGCGCAGAUGCGCCUCCACCAUGUCACUCCAGCGGUGUCUGGGGCGUCCGAUAGGACGUCCUCCUGCUAGGCGACCCAGGUACGCUCUUUUUACGUUCCGAUCUUCAUCCAGGUGGCCUAACCAACGGAGUCUGUGGGCUUUACUUUCUCCCAUGAUGUUAGGUUCAGCCACUAGGUCUUCGAUCUCACGGUUCUUAAGGAUUGUCCAGCUUCCAACCGCUCUUCGUUUGGGACCAGUAUCUUACGGAGUAUCUUCCUCUCGGCAACUAUCAGCAUGUUUUCUUCCUUGAGUGUUAGUGUCCCUGCUUCGCAUCCGUAGGUUAGUAUUGGGCGAAUCACGGUCUUAUAGAUUCGGAUUUUGGUGCGUCUGCUUGGAAGCUUGGACACUAACACCUUGUGAAGGGCUGCACUGCAUCGCAAUGUAUUCUGGAUCCUAAUCUUUAUGUCCUCGUCAGGAUUGUUGGUAUCAGUAACGGUGCAGCCUAAGUAAGUUUUUUUAUUAAUAAACGCUUAUUAAAAAUUCGUUAAUAUUACUUGUGAAAGCAAUAGAACGUAAAUAUAUUUUUUUAAUAAAAAGACGCAUCAAGAUCGCUUACCUACUCUUUCUAAUUGCCUCCAAAUUCCGAUGUAAUUAUAAUCUAAGUAGGUAUGUUAUUUGAUGCAACAGUUCUAAUAAUCGGUGAGCCUAUUGUCCCCUGGCUCACGGGACAAAAUGACAACAAAAAAAAAUUGAUCCACCCACAUACAAACAUUGCAAGUUAAAUAAAAGCUUGUAAUUUGUGUACAGACUCCAGAAGAAUGGCAGCUGCUGUGGUCCGGGCCGGAGGCGCCGGACGCCUACCUCAAGGAGUUCUGUCACCGCGCGCUCGCCGCCGCGCGCAACGUCGCUCCGCUCGACGAUGACUACAUGCCUAAAGAGGUGGACCUGCGCUGCUUCCUGCGGCCGGAGCGCGUGCUGUGCGCGGUGCGCGCGCGCGCCGCCUCGCGCCCCCCGCACGCCUCGCACAAGCUCGCGCUGCAAGUCGUCUGGGAUCCUGCCGAUGGUGGCGACGGCGACGCCGCCUCGUCGCUGGGCGUGGUGGGGCUGCGGCUGACGGG